AUCUUCCACAAUGGGCGAAAGCCUGCUGGAGCAACGCCGCGUGAGUGAAGAAGGUUUUCGGAUCGUAAAACUCUGUUGUAAGGGAAGAACAAGUAAAGUAGUAACUGGCUGUACCUUGACGGUACCUUAUUAGAAAGCAACGGCUACAUACGUGCCAGCAGCCGCGGUAAUACGGAGGUGGCAAGCGUUGUCCGGAAGUAUUGGGCGUAAAGCGCGCGCAGGCGGUCCUUUAAGUCUGAUGUGAAAGCCCACAGCUCAACCGUGGAGGGUCAUUGGAAACUGGGGGACUUGAAUGCAGAAGAGGAAAGUGGAAUUCCAAGUGUAGCGGUGAAAUGCGUAGAGAUUUGGAGGAACACCAGUGGCGAAGGCGACUUUCUGGUCUGUAACUGACGCUGAGGCGCGAAAGCGUGGGGAGCAAACA
rnacentral:rRNA from 1 species